rnacentral:rRNA from 1 species
UACGAAGGGGGCUAGCGUUGCUCGGAAUCACUGGGCGUAAAGCGCACGUAGGCGGAUUCUUAAGUCAGGGGUGAAAUCCUGGAGCUUAACUCCAGAACUGCCUUUGAUACUGAGAAUCUCGAGUUCGGGAGAGGUGAGUGGAACUGCGAGUGUAGAGGUGAAAUUCGUAGAUAUUCGCAAGAACACCAGUGGCGAAGGCGGCCUUCUGGACAGUGACUGACGCUGAGACGCGAAAGCGUGGGGAGCAAACAGG